UACGUAGGGUCCGAGCGUUGUCCGGAAUUAUUGGGCGUAAAGGGCUCGUAGGCGGUUUGUCGCGUCGGGAGUGAAAACUCAGGGCUCAACCCUGAGCGUGCUUCCGAUACGGGCAGACUAGAGGUAUGCAGGGGAGAACGGAAUUCCUGGUGUAGCGGUGAAAUGCGCAGAUAUCAGGAGGAACACCGGUGGCGAAGGCGGUUCUCUGGGCAUUACCUGACGCUGAGGAGCGAAAGCGUGGGGAGCGAACAGG
rnacentral:rRNA from 1 species